AUAGUUACAACCCUUUUUCAUGAGACACGCAGGUCUCUAAUACAUCAAUAUAAGAUGCACGCAGGCAUCUGAAAAUCUGAUUUACAUGCCAUCACAGAACAUCGCAGAACAUUUCAGCACAUUCACAAAGGGUCAUCCAUGAUCAUCACCAUUCGCAUCACAUGCAUAAAUUAUAAUUUACAGAUCUGAAAUCUAAUUGAUUACGUCAUCACAUGAGUUGCUGAUCAUGCAAGACAUGAUUCUAAAUAUUUGUAAUCACAUUAUCAAAGCAAUAGAAUCAUUAAUCAAAACAUUCAAAAAUUUCAGCAUGCAGAAAAAUCUGCAACCUGAAAUUCUGCAUGCAUAAAAAUCAGCAGGCAUAAUCCUUUAAAUUUCAGAUCUAAUAUGCCCUUUAAUAAUUAAUCCUAACCUUAAUCUACGAAGCCUAGGCUCUGAUACCACUGUUGGGAUCUGCCCAUGCUGCAAAAAAAAUAAAAAAAGUUUCUGAUCGCAGCAAAAGGCAUGCGCCAGAUCCGCGUUGCUCAUCGCAUGAACGUAUUUUAAAACCGAUGUUCAUAGAUAGAUUAGGAUUAAAACUUUUAUAUAAGAUUAGGAAGAUCAAAUCUUCACCUUGUGCGGCUAGAUGAUCACCGCAAAUCUGAUGAUCGUGGUAUUUGUUGGAAGGUUCGCUUGAAGCCGCACACGCGUCCGACCUCUACGGGUAUCCACAUGAGGCAGAGAACCAAUCCAAACUCUUUAAUCUCCCUGGAGUGCUAGCUCCCUUGCAGAGAUGU
rnacentral:lncRNA from 1 species